rnacentral:tRNA from 1 species
AUGGCUCAGUGGAAAGAGCACAGGCUUGGGAGUCAGAGGUCGUGGGUUCUAAUCCCACU